AGGACAGCCUGGUCUACAGAGUGAGCUCCAGGACAGCCUGGUCUACAGAGUGGCUCCAGGACAGCCUGGUCUACAGAGUGAGCUCCAGGACAGCCAGGGCUGCACAGAGAAGCAAACAAACGAGCAACAACCACAACAAGAAGCCCACAUUUGUAUUAGGGCUGGCUCCCAUCUCCUGCCCCAGUGGACGGAUUAACUCAGCUCAGAACUGAUCAAUGGGUGACGACAUAAGCAUCAGAGUGGAGUGAACCAGGGGCUCCCUCUCCUCCAGCCAAGAAACAAUCACUCUGGAACGAUUCCUGACUCAGAAGGAACAGAAACCUCCUCAAAGACAGGCCGUCUGAUGUCAACCUCAGUCGAGGUACUUCCUGUCCCUGGGUCCCACCCACUCUCUCCUCACAGCGCCUGCCUUUCGGGUCAAGCUUACAGGAGAGGCAGGUGGGAGAAGGGUGCAUGGGGGUACAUGGCUCCCACAGCAGCUCCCUCUCCCUGGGACUUCACAGGUACAGUCACACCCGGCCCUGUCCUCAGAAGAUGCCCCGCUUGGCAUACCCUCCUGCCUGCUAUCUUGAAAGUUCUCAUCGUUUUUUGUUUUUUUUUAAGAGGACUGCGUUUUCAUUCACACUGGGUCCCACAAAUUAUGUAGCAGGUUCUGCUCCCAGGGAGCGUAAUCCACACACCCUCCUUUGCUACGCAAAUGAGGAAAUCAAGGCCAGUGACCGGAAGCAUCUGGGCCAGGGCUGGCUGGCGUCAGGCAGCAGGCAGUCUACAGAGGGAAAUACCAUCUUCACUGCCCCAUUCCCGUCCUUCCAGUUCAAUCCAUCAUGAGGCCUGGAGCUCAGCCUGGGGAAUCCCCAGGGGCAUGUCAGACCUGGAAACCACGGCGUUAACCUUAAACUUUCCCUGUCAGAUUCCAGCCCCCCAAGUCCUCCCCACAACCCCUAGGCCAUAAAGGAGAGUAGCGCCUCCCUGUGAGACUUGACCACCAAAAGUAAGGGGAAGCAGGGGUGAGAAGGGAGACAUGCUGGAGGAUUGAUUUUUCUCACCCUACCCCUUGCUGCUCUGGAGCGACAGCCUUGCACAGAUGUCUCCCUGAGAGAGUACGGAAACCACCGCUGGCUUUCCCAAGCUCCUUCUCUUCCUAGCCUUGAGGGCAACCUUGGGAGAGCGGGGUCUUGGGGGUAUCCUUUUCCUGCUCGCCUUUCAACCCACUGCCCUGCCCCUUCUCUAAUGAUUAUAGUCAGUCAAAUCAA